UACGGAGGGGGCUAGCGUUGUUCGGAAUUACUGGGCGUAAAGCGCACGUAGGCGGCUUUGUAAGUUAGAGGUGAAAGCCCGGGGCUCAACCCCGGAACUGCCUUUAAGACUGCAUCGCUUGAAUCCAGGAGAGGUGAGUGGAAUUCCUGGUGUAGCGGUGAAAUGCGCAGAUAUCAGGAGGAACACCAAUGGCGAAGGCAGCUCGCUGGGACGGUACUGACGCUGAGACGCGAAAGCGUGGGGAGCAAACAGG
rnacentral:rRNA from 1 species